ensembl:lncRNA
GAAAUUUUCUGCUGAUGAAAAUAAAUCCCUUACACUCAGAGACUGUUUAUAAAGGACUGAGUCGAGCAUUUAGUCCGUUCCCUCUACAUACCUAUAAGUUUGCUUUAUCUCAUCCUUGAUCUUGUUUCCACACUAUUCACUAUUUUCUCUUCCCUCGCUUUCAUCGUGGCUGUCUUACCUUGAAAAACGUCCUGUUCCUCGGCUCUCCUUUAGUUACUUUUACCUUUAAUGUGACACUUUAUUCUGCAAAAGCUCCUUUAAACGUUUCCUUGUAAACACGCGUACAGAACGACGCGCGAUCGCUGCCACACGAUUUUAUGCAGAGUACAAUGCUUGCAUGUGGCGCGCUCUUCUACGGUCUAAGCCGAUCGGAUUGACGCGCUGUCAUAUAAUCAAGGUAAUACAUAUGGUAUUACAUAAGACAUAAGACUGUCGUUUGAAUAAUAACGUGUAUUAAUUAUAGUCUUACCUCUGGAAAAACAACUUUUUGCAGCGGUGCUCGUGCAGAUUGUGACGAAGCCCGUGAUUGGAGAGAGCGAGAGAGAGAGAGUGAUGGGUUGGAAAGAAGGAGGAUGCGAGGACUGGCUGUUUUUUUUUACACACUAGUGUUUGUAGCGAAUGCAGCUCUGAUCAUGAUGCUGAUGGUUGGGGUUUUUUGUUUGUUUUGUUUUGUUUUGUUUUUUUGGAGAUUUAAUCAGUGAAGGAACAUUUUGUCACAUAUUGGAGUUUCAAACGUUUCUUGAGGUUUUACAGAGCUGUUAGUUUCCGGUGUCCUCAGUGAAAAUGGUAUAGAGGCUUUAGGCUGAGAGAACAGGUGUGACUGAGUUAUUCUUGUGACUUAAGUCAAAAGUCACAGGAUGGGGCAUUUUCGUGUCUAAAUGUGCCUCAGAUCUAAAUGGGGAAAAUCAGGUCAGAUCAGAGCUGAACAGCAGGGGUUGCAAAAAAUUCUUAAUCCUUCAGAUGUGCCCACGUUCCUGAAAAUAAGUGAAUACAUUACUUAAAAUAAAUAAAUAAAUGAAAAUGAUCUGUUAUAAAUAAUCAUUUUAGGGGCCAGAUCUGCCCAGGGACCAAAUCAUUAUGAUCCAAGCAACCACCCUCACAUCACCCAUGUUAUGUGGAAUCCAGCUUUGCUGUUGGAUUUGGGAUAUCUCUCUUCUCUGACUUUAACACCCAUCCCAAGACUGAGAACUGCCACUUCCUCGUCGGGUUUCAAAGGUCAUAAAAUGCUAUAGUUUACAGUAUCAAAAAAGCAUGUUCACAUUAUGGUACAGAAAAAAAAUCUUUUUCACCUCUGUAGAUCUGUAGAUGGGUUUGCUGUUCAUAACACCUGUACAAUGGCAGGUUUUCGUUUAUUUUGACUCAUCCAUCUGGAUUCUUAUGGUUCUGUUGGAGGUUUCUUCCUGUGAAAAGGGAGUUUUUCCUUCCCACAGUCGCCAACGUGCUUGCUCAUAGGGGGUCAUAUGAUUGUUGGGUUUUUAUUGUAGGGUCUACCUUACAAUAUAAAGCACCUUGAGGUGACUGUAGUUGUGAUUUGGUGCUGUAUAAAUAAAACUGAAUUGAAUUCUUGUAAAGCUUAAAGUUAGUGUCAUGACUGUCUUAAUGGACAGGUGACAGGCAACAGUAGCUGACCUGUGUCUGCUUUGC